CAAAAACAUGGCUCUCUGUUUACAUAAAUAUAGGGAGUCGAGCCUGCCCAGUGAAUUUUUAAACGGCCGCGGUACUCUGACCGUGCAAAGGUAGCAUAAUCAUUUGCCUUAUAAUUGAAGGCUAGUAUGAAUGGUUUGACGAGAGCAACACUGUCUCCUUUUUAUUUUCAAGAACUUAACUUUUAGGUGAAGAGGCCUAAAUUUUAUUGAAGGACAAGAAGACCCUAUCGAGCUUAAAAGACAUUAUAGAAGUUUAUAUAUUUCUAAAUAGAUUUUCUAUUGAGCUUUUUAGUUGGGGCGACUAAGGAACAAAAAAAGCUUCUUGCUAAUAAUAGACAGUCAUGUUUAGAUCCGAUAAUAAUCGAUCAAAGAAAUUAGUUACCGUAGGGAUAACAGCAUAAUCUCUCUUGAGAGACCUAAUCGAAAGAGGGGGUUGUGACCUCGAUGUUGGACUAGAAUAUCCUAAAGAUGCAGAAGUCUUUGAAGGUCGGUCUGUUCGACCGUUAAAAUUCUACGUGAUCUGAUUUCAGACCGACCUUCAAAGACUUCUGCAUCUUUAGGAUAUUCUAGU
rnacentral:rRNA from 1 species